AGUGAACGCUGGCGGUCUGCCUAAUACAUGCAAGUCGAACGUGGGUCGGACGUGUGAGGCAUAUAUCGGAAUCUACUCUGUCGUGGGGGCUACCGUUGGGAAACUUAUGCUAAUACCGCUAACGAUCGCUUGCGCCGAUGUCGGAUUGGCUUGUUGGCGGGGUAAAGGCCCACCAAGGCGACGACCCGUAGCUGGUCUGAGAGGAUGAUUAGCCACACUGGAACUGAGACACGGUCCAGACGCCUACGGGAGGCAGCAGUGGGGAAUAUUGGACAAUGGGCGCAAGCCUGAUCCAGCCAUACCGCGUGGGUGAAGAAGGCCGUCGGGUUGUAAAGCCCUUUUGUUGGGAAAGCGGUACCCAAAGAGUAAGCACCGGCUAACUUCGGGCCAGCAGCCGCGGUAAUAC
rnacentral:rRNA from 1 species